GUGAAAAGGACCCCGGGAGGGGAGUGAAAGAGAACCUGAAACCCUGUGUUUACAAUCUGUGGAAGGUCUUUAUAUGACCAACCGCGUACUUUUUGUAGAACGGUCCGGCGAGUUACGCGUACUGGCAAGGUUAAGUGCUUAAGGCACGGAGCCGAAGCGACAGCGAGUCUUAACUGGGCGAUGAGUCAGUACGAGUAGACCCGAAACCGGGUGAUCUAUCCAUGUCCAGGAUGAAGAUGCCGUAAAAGGCAUUGGAGGUCCGAAGCCACAUCCGUUGAAAAGGGUGGGCAUGAGGUGUGGAUAGGGGAGAAAUUCCAAUCGAACCCGGAGAUAGCUGGUUCUCCUCGAAAUAGCUUUAGGGCUAGCCUCGUUUUAGUCUUAUGGAGGUAGAGCACUGAAUUUCCGCGGGGGCGUCAAAGCUUACCAAAGAAUAUCAAACUCCGAAUGCCAUGUAGAUGAUGAACGGGAGUCAGACUGCACGAGAUAAGUUGGGCGGUCAAAAGGGAAAGAGCCCAGACCACCGGCUAAGGUCCCAAAGUGUGUGUUAAGUGGAAAAGGAUGUGGGAAUUCGAAGACAACUAGGAUGUUGGCUCAGAAGCAGCCAUACAUUCAAAGAGUGCGUAACAGCUCACUAGUCGAGAGUCCCUGCGCCGAAAAUGUCCGGGGCUGAAACACAACACCGAAGCCGUGGACUCCGUAAGGAGUGGUAGAGGAGCAUUCUUAAAACCGACGAAGCUGUACCGGUAAGGAGCAGUGGAGGGAUAAGAAGAGAGAAUGCCGGAAUGAGUAGCGAGAGGAAGGUGGGAAUCCUUCCGGCCGAAUAUCUAAGGUUUCCAGAGUAAAGCUGAUCUGCUCUGGGUAAGUCGGGGCCUAAGGAGAGGUCGCAAGACGUAUCCGAUGGACAACAGGUUUAGAUUCCUGUACCGCAUAUAAACAGAACUGUGGGGACGCAUGUGGAAAGCAUAAGCCGGGAAUGGAAAGACCGGUACAAGCGAGGUAGGUGUGUGACAGGCAAAUCCGUCAUAUAAGCCGAAGACGUGAUGUGGAGCGAAAUUAAGUAGUGAAGUAUGUGAGCCAUGUGCCGAGAAAAGCCGCUAUUGUUUUAUAUGUGCCCGUACCGUAAACCGACACAGGUGGAUGAGGAGAGAAUCCUAAGGCCGACGGAAGAAGCAUUGUUAAGGAAUUCGGCAAAAUGACCCCGUAACUUCGGGAGAAGGGGUGCCCACUGAAUGGUGGGCCGCAGAGAAUAGGCUCAAGCAACUGUUUAGCAAAAACACAGGUCUAUGCGAAACCGAAAGGUGAGGUAUAUGGGCUGACGCCUGCCCGGUGCUGGAAGGUUAAGAGGAGAGGUUAGCGCAAGCGAAGCUUUGAAUUUAAGCCCCAGUAAACGGCGGCCGUAACUAUAACGGUCCUAAGGUAGCGAAAUUCCUUGUCGGGUAAGUUCCGACCCGCACGAAAGGCGUAAUGAUUUGAGCACUGUCUCGACAAUGCAUCCGGUGAAAUUGAAGUACCAGUGAAGAUGCUGGUUACCCGCGCCAGGACGGAAAGACCCCAUGGAGCUUUACUCCAGUUUGAUACUGGGAUUCGGUACUGCACGUACAGGAUAGGUGGGAGACUGAGAACUAUGGACGCCAGUCUGUAGGGAGUCGCUGUUGGGAUACCACCCCUGUAGUACUGGGUUUCUAACCAGCUGCCGUGAACCGGCAGUGGGACAAUGUCAGGCGGGGAGUUUGACUGGGGCGGUCGCCUCCGAAAGGGUAUCGGAGGCGCUCAAAGGUUCCCUCAGAAUGGUCGGAAACCAUUUGAAGAGUGCAAAGGCAGAAGGGAGCUUGACUGCGACACCGACGGGUGGAGCAGGU
rnacentral:rRNA from 1 species